UCCUUUCCUUUCCUUUCCUUUCCUUUCCUUUCCUUUCCUUUCCUUUCCUUUCCUUUCCUUUCCUUUCCUUUCCUUUCCUUUCCCUUUAGCAAUUAUUAUUAUUAUUAUUAUUUUAACGGACGAGGGAAAGUAAGGAAAAUUCACCCGAUCCUUUUAAAAAGAGGCUACCGUUUUCUGAAAAACGUUUCCCUAAAUCGCUUGGUAUCAUUCUUCGCAUGUUAAAGGCGAAGUUUAGAAUAUGAACUGCGGCUUCUCCCUGGCUCCCCAAGCCUCUGCUUUUCUACUUGUUUAGUUCCUGGGGAGGGGUGCCGGGGGGAGCACGAUAUUCUGGGGCUGCGAAGAGGGAGAGGGGAAGGCAAAUAACUUUUCUUUCACUGUCGCAACUGUCUAUUUGUCAGGUUUUCUUUGUUUUUAUCACUUCAUAAAGUAGGUCUAUUAAAGACGGAAUGUUGCCUCCCUAAGAUGCUGCUAUAUCGGUGAAAGUUUGCAAUUAAAUUACGGUUGCGUUCUUUCCAGAGUUAAAAAUCAAUGUUUUCUCAAUUAAAGGGGAUUUUAAUGCUUUUACUUGGCAGUUGUUAAGGACGCCGUAAAUUUUAUUAUAAUGCCUCCGAGCUGCGAAGCCCGGCGAGCGGACAGGUUGAUAUUCACUUUGGGUUUGGGGGAAAGAAGAGCUUGUCGCUGGUUUUGUUUCUCUCUCGAAAGGGCCUUCUUCACAAAACUCGGCUCAUUCCGACCAGCCGCAAGGCAGAGCGAUGCCGAGGGGGCGGGGGCAGCCGGGCUGUGCGCCCCCCAGCACUGCUUGCUGCUGACCGGCCCCCCGGCUCCGGGGGCUCGGUCCGCCCCCGAUGCUCGGCCGCUGCCCGCCGGCUGCAAGAAGCCGCCUGCGCGGGCACUGCACGGCUCUGCCUGCGAGCACGCGGCGCGCUAAUGAAGGCAUGUGUCUGUGCUGGCGAAGACCUUUACGUGUCUGGGAGAACCUACUUACAGAGGGGACUACAAGUUAACAGUUGGAAGUAAAUGGGAGCCGGAAUCAGGCUGGCAGAGUUGUUGGUUUUUUUUUUUUUUUUUUUUUUUUUUUUUUCAUUGGCCAGAACAUUUUGUCUUUACAGGUUCCUGCCAGGUAAAACACACUAGGGGGCUGAUUCUGAACCCACUUACAGGGGGUUAACUCCUCGAGCCGCAGGAGAGUUCGUUCCCGGGCCGUGGGACCAGAAAUAGGCCCCUAUCGCCUGGUUUUGUCUGAAGCGCGUUUAAAAUUCCUUAAAUUAGCUCCAUGAAGAAACAGUGCAAACUCCUUUGAUUAAAGUGACUGUCAGAUUCUUCGAGAUUAGGAGAGAGAAAGCGCAGAGUAGGAUGUAUUUAUUAUUUAUGCCACAGUCCUCAGCGCCCAGUUGGAAGGGGGGCAUUACAGAGGGUGUUUGAAGGGGGGGAGGGAGGGAGAAAGGGAGGGCGAGCCAGGGAGAUGCAACAACGGUGGCUGGCGGGCGGGCCGAGCCCCUUCGCUCCUUCCCCUCCCGGAGCCCCCGAGCAGCUGGGGGCUCCCCAGUCCGGUGCUGCCGCUGGCGGCCCCCGGGCAACGCCAGCUCCGGGCUUUUCCAUCCCGUCCCGUCCCGUCUCGUCCCGUCCCGUCCCGUCCCGUCCCAUCCCUGUCGGAGCCCGCUCCCACGGGGCCACGGAGCGCGCACGGCAGACGCUGCGGGAUGCGGGGCCCCAGCUUGGUGCGGAGCUGGGUCCCCAGCGCGGCCCCGCGUCCAGGUGGCUGAGCCUCGGAUGGCCGGGUGCUCGCCCUUAGCGUGGGGCAGGGGCGAGCGGCAAUAAAAACUGAAUGGGAGCCGCGCGGCAGUGUCGGGGGAAACUAACGAUGUGCUUCAGCUCUUGCCAUUACAGAGAAGGAGAGGGGGGGAACCCCCUUCUGAUUAAUAACUAGCAGGGUAAUGUUGAGGGCUUUUUCUGCCCGAUUGCCUUUUUGAAUUAGAGCCGAUUUCUUCACACUUCAAUAGGACCUGUCUCUUUUAAAAUGACUGACAGAUUUGUUUCUCCUUUUUUCUCUCCCUGAGACUUAAUGAUGUAAAUUUUCUAAUUAGUUAAAUCGCGUUGCUUAAAGGCCUUAAUAUUUACUGGGCAAGGACCGAUAGCCGCGCUCGGAUCCCUGGAAAGAACCGGAGCGGCUUUUCGGGAGGGAGGGGGCAGCCAGGAGGGAGGGGAGGGCUGGGGGAACAGAACGCAAAACGAGAGCUAAAGUUCAGCCCGGAGCUUCUUCCCUCCUCCCCCACGCCCCCGAACCCGCUUUUAUUUUUCAAUCAGCUAAGAUUUAAUUAGGAGCCCCCAGGCCGGACGAUCUGAUAUUUUCUCAUUAGUUUCCCAUCAGUAAUCUCGAGUGUUAGAUUGGCUUAAAGGUUGUCAACAUUUGACCAAUUUUAUUUAAGGCAAAGAAAUCACGCAUUAUAGCUCCGGGACCUGAGAUCUGAAAAUAAAUCCUGCCCGGAUCAGCGGAACUAACAGGCGAAAAAAAUGUUGACAAUUUCUCGCCGUAUUUAAUAAGUUGCAUAAUGCACGGUACACACAGAAGGGCGGCCGUGGAGGGGGGUGUGGGUGCUCUCCGCGCAGCCACGGCCGGGCCCCCGCCAUGCGCGCACCUUGCGCGGCGCCCGCCCGGGGCUGCGGGCACAGGGAGCGCGGCGGAGGGAGAGGGUGCGGGGGAGGGGGUUAAGGACUGGGGGGCGCCGCGGAGCGCGGCUGCGGGUGCGGCCCUGCGCCCCUGCGGGAACGCGGGCGCGGCGGGCACGCGGCGCGGGCUCCCAGGCGCAACGUCGGAGCGCCCCCUGCCGGCUGCGCCGCGCAGCCUCCGGUCGCGCCGGCCGCUCGGUUACGCGCCGGGUGUGUGUGUGGGGGGGGAAAGCGAGGCCAUGCAUGGCGCCGGGAGCGCGCAUCGCCAGCCUGGCGAGGGAGCGCGCUCCCGGCCCCUUGCCCUUCGCUCCGCAGCCGGCUUCGUGGGGCUGGGGGAGACUUUUUGCCGAAUGUCUUUUAUUAUUUUAUUUUAUUUUAUUUUAUUUUAUUUUAUUUUAUUUUAUUUUAUUUUAUUUUAUUUUAUUUUAUUUUAUUUUAUUUUAUUUUAUUUUAUUUUAAUUAUCUCAUUCCAUUUUAAAGAGCACCGACGGGGAAAAGAGUGGGCGCUGAUAACAGGGGUCAAGGCGCUUUCGCAGUCCCUGCCAUUUGCCCCCCUCCUCGCCCCUCCGCGGAGUCCCCCGGGCAGGGUCCCGGCAGGGCGCCGGGCAUCCCCAGCCGCAUCCCCAACCCCAGCCAUGCCCGGGGUCCCCGCCAUGGCUGCCCGGCACCCGCCCGGCCCCGCUGCGCGCCAGGCAUGCAUAGGGCCAGCAACCGGGGUGAGGGGAGCGAAAAAGGCAAUAAAGCAGGGCAAAACGAGUGUCACAUGGUGCCGGUAAUUUAUAGGUAAGCAAGCCUACGGUUCUGUGUUUAUGGAAAACACGGCAGAAGGGUGAAACCAACCGAUCUGCCGCGAGGUUGCAUCCCAGACGUGUCCCCGCAGCGACAAGCGCCUGCCCCGUACCUUCCUCGCCCCUGGAGCGAGCACCCGCAGCUCCUCAGCGCGGCACCGGCCGCCCCCCCCCCCGCUGCCGGCCGGGGAGCUCCGGGGACAGGAGGGGGAUGCGGCUGCAGGGGAGACCCCGGUCCGGCGCCCUCCGGACCCCCGUUGGUCCCCGGCGAGGAGGACGCGGUCCGGCGGGGGUGGUGGGGAGAGUAACAAAAGCACAACUCCGCUCGGAAUCCACAAAAAUAUAUAUUAAAAGAAAAAAAAAUCAUAAGUCGGCCGCGUUUAAAGAGGCACCCGAGCCUCUUUGCGCGCUGAGGUGCUCCAGUUAAAUAUUUAUAGUUGGCGUGAUUAUUUUGCCCAUCGGAAAAAUAAAAACAAAAGCAGAACACCGCCGCGCAAACCUGAGCCGAGUUGCGUUGGGUCAGGGCUGUGCCUAGACAGAGCCCGGCCAAAACAAAGCUUUGCGGAUCUGGCUUGCUGGAUCGAGACAGUAGUUGCUCAAUUUUAUUUUCUUUUAAAAAUGUGCGUGUGGGGGAGGGUGGAGGGGAAUAUUUAUCAGAAUAGCAGAAGACACCUUUCUUGAAACAAAGGCGAGGGGAAUCAUCUCGAUUGCAAAUCCAUCAGGCAGAGAGCAAAUAACAAUAUUUAUAGGAAGGCAUUCAGAAAUACGGUGUGCUUAAAUAACAACAACAAAUGCUUACUACAGUUGCUACAGCGCAGCUUAAUAAAAAAUUAGCCUUACUGACAGUCUUGUCAACAUCUUAAGUAAAUUAUCAUAGCGAUGGUCUUUGGAGAAGAGAACCCACACUCCUUACUAAAACACCUCCUAUCAUUAAUCUUAAACCACUUGAAGAUUAUGAUGGAAAGAAUGGGAUCAGUAACCAUUAUCAUCUCAAAUUGCUGUUAAAAACUCCGCUGUUUAUUUUUGCAACCAAAGCAAAUGUAGCUGGGAAAUGCAGAAAAGGAAGAAAGGAAAACACAAGAAAGGCAAAACAAUUGAGGCGAAUCCUGUUGCAACCUCGAUGAUAAACACAUGGAAAAAGCUGUUACUACUCUGUGGAUUGCUGGAAUUUGGGUAGACAUUAGAAAAAUAAACAAAGCAAUGGCUCCGCACCAGCUCUGUUAGAGCACCGGUACAUUCAAGGAAAGGAUUUGGUGGCAGAGAAGGGAGAAGCUGCUGAUUUAGGGACACUGGACCAGAAACGCUACCAACGGCUCUUGACACCUUCAAUGAAUCCGCAAAUCGAUGCGAUCUGGGUACCCGCGGCUGAACCUAAUCAGACGCAGCUUUUUGAAGUUGUUGCCUCCAAACGCAAAAGUUUACACGAAGCCUUUAUCGGCGCGAUGCACCCCGGCCAGCCCUUCCUCCCUCCCCCCCCCUUCCCCCGAGAGGGAGAAGGGGCGGCUUUAGGACAGGAGGAUGCCACCUAGAAUCUCCUAACCCCUUAUUUUCGCCUAGCGGAGCUGCAUCUCCCCGCGUCACCGGCCACCACCCGUUUCAGCUGCGGGUUGCUGGUGGCGGGGGCGAGCGGGCGGCGCUUCCCCCGGCCCCGGGGGCGCGCUCCUACCGGGGGCGGCACUGUGCGGGUGCUGCGCGGGGCGCGCAGGUAGGCGCCGCCGGGGCCGCGCUGCCCGCUCCCCCGUCGUGGCCCCGCAGUGACCCCAGCCCAGGGCUGAGGGGAGGUGAGAGGUGAGAGGUGACGCCGCGAGCUAGCGCAGACCUGGCCCUUUUAAAGCCACAGCUAAUCAGUCCUCCGCUAAAUUAAAACCUGGGAAGCCGAGGGGAAGCAAUUUCGUUGUGAAGAAUUACGGGGCGCGCACCGGCACGGAGGGGGCACGGCAAGGAUGGCUGCGCACAGCUCAGGGGCCGGGGGGCUGCAAAACACACGGCACGCCGUGGGGAUCCGGUGGAUCUCCGCGGGUGUGAGAUCAUAAGCGCACACCCCAAUAAAACCCCGGUUUACCGCUGGAAAACUUCAGCCCCAGAAAGCCUGCGGCGGGCUGGGGAACUCAGGACGCCCUGCGCCGGGCGGUUUAAUUGCCUCCCUCGCCAAGGGCUUGGCGUUUCAUUAGGGCACGUGAAGAAAUUAAAGUGGAAAAAAAAGUGAUAAAUUUUCCUGUCAGUUCAUUUGUCUUCAGUUGCGAGUUGUUCUUUAAGCUCCGUGAGAAAUAAGGAGCCAGCCGCCCCAGAGGUGCGAGGACGAGCGUGCCCGUGUGUGCGCGCCCCCGAGGGAAAAACGCGUGGGACCUGGGCGCGGGGUGGCCCACGAACUGUGCAAAACGGUGACUGUUCAAUUUUUCCUCCUCAAUUAGGAACUAUCCCUCGAUUUGUUUGGCACCCAUUACUUUUUAAUAACUCCGUAGAAUCAGGAGAGGAAGAAUAAAUGUCUGCUGCGAGUAACCCGCUGUAGCGCAGUUGUUUUGCUGGGUUAAUGUGCAGCUGCAUGCGCAACACGAGAAUGGCCGUGAACGAGAUGCACAGGAAAAGAUAUAAAAUAAAGACUGCUGGAGGAAUAAUGAUAUUUGCCAAUGUGUUUACGUCAAUGGGUCGUAGCAAGAAACACCGAGCUUUGCUAACGCAGCUCCGGUACAUCCAGGCUCCAAGGAAACUUUGCUUUUUCCUGCAUUCUAGGCAGCAAAACACGGGACUGAGGAGGCUGCGAGCCGCUUUCCCGGCUGCCGCUGUAAUUAAUUUAGGUGUUGCGAUCACAGAUCCGAGGGAGAAGGACGGGGCUGAAUUCGCCUGCCCGCCUCCCCUUUCCCUGGCGCAGCCCCCAGAGCAGGUCCACUGCAGUUUUGAUCCCAGAGCACCCUGCAUGGGGCUGUCCUGCAGCACCCAUCCUGCUCUCCUCCACCGAGACCCAUGACCGCAUCAGAUGUCUGAGCACCUUCUCAAGGCACUGUGCUUGGGUCCCUCCAUCUUAAACAGAAAUGCAGCAAGCAGGUUACCUCCUAAUGUGGUAAGCAGAGUGAAGCCCUGCUUGCUCUGGGUGCGUUCUCCAACUCUACACAGGCCUUUCCUUUUGGGUAUUUGAAGUGAUGUGCAACUAGGAGGAGGUCACAGGUGACUGACAAGUUCAACCUACUUAGCUCAAUUAUCCAAGUUUCAUUUCCAAAUUGUGUUCAAUUUGAUCUUCCUGCCUCCCUCCAAAUGAUCUUAGAGGGGAAAAAAAAUCAAAUGAAGUCAGACAAUUUAAGCCAAAUCCUGUAUACCAUUAUUUAUAUGUAAAAUCAUUUUUUGUGAUAUAUACUCCUAUUAAUGGUUAUGGGAUGCUGGAUCCUUCCAAAUGGAUUUAUAAACCUAGCCAUCAAAUUAUUUCAAAGGCAAGCCUAUUAGGGACAAAAAUAAUUAUAAACUUUCAGAAGCUUUGUAAAAAAUAACUUUCUGAAUGUUGUCUCUUUAAAUUUUACUUAAGUUUUGUUUUUAAUUUAAGCCUGGAGGCACAGUAGAGAGAGAUGCAGAGUCUAAUAAGGAGUUUGGAAAAUAAUGUGCUGUAAUCCAGUGCCGAGCUAUUUCUCCAUAAAAUAUAGAUAAGGAAUCAAUUCAUAAGCACAAAUAUCUACUACGACUGAGUUUUAACAUAACGUUUCACAUGAGCAUUCUUACAUGCAUUAUUAAGGAGAUAACAAAAGUGCUUCAAAUCAAGCCCCAUACAGUCACAUCUGGAAAUGCUCUUUUCUGUCUAAUUUUCAUUUUUUUUUCCUCUGAAAAAAAUGUUAGAAGAAAAACUAGUCUGUCCCCUUGUAUAUUAACUGUUACCAUCAGCUUUUAAUCAGCAACAUGUAUAGUUAGAUUUACAGAAUCCAUUCCAUGUUGCCUCUUUUAGCAAACAGUAAAAUGAAGAUAAUAUCUUUAUUCAUUUAUAGAACCUGAUGUUAAAACUAAAACUACACACAAAUAACAUAUACAUUGCCUUAUGCAUAUAGACAGGCAUGCAGAUACAUAGACACAACACGUAUAUAUGUGGAAACAAGUCAUGACCAUGAGUUGGAAAACAUAAUAAAAAGUAUCUGUGCAUUUCACCAGAUCCUAAGUCAGACCUCAUCAGAUAAGAAGUGGUCUAGGGAAAAUUAGUUUAAGAUCAGACACAGCUAAUUUCUGAAGGUACUGGAGCUUCAGCAAGCUUGGCUGUACAAUAUGUAAUUGCUGUCGGUUUUAAAGGAAGCUCCUUAGGCUUUUGAGUCAAAUAAAGCAUUGCCUUUAAGUCAUGAAGGGUUAAUAAAUUUGUCACAAGUUGCAAGCAGUUGAAACAGUUGUUGGGUUUUGUUGUUUGUUUUGUUUGCUUGUUAAUGUAGAAUGUAAUGGAAUUAUGUUCUGAGGACAAAGAUAAAAGACAUCUCUAAGA